AUUGAACGCUGGCGGCAGGCCUAACACAUGCCAGUCGAACGGUAACAGGAAGAAGCUUGCUUCUUUGCUGACGAGUGGCGGACGGGUGAGUAAUGUCUGGGAAACUGCCUGAUGGAGGGGGAUAACUACUGGAAACGGUAGCUAAUACCGCAUAACGUCGCAAGACCAAAGAGGGGGACCUUCGGGCCUCUUGCCAUCGGAUGUGCCCAGAUGGGAUUAGCUAGUAGGUGGGGUAACGGCUCACCUAGGCGACGAUCCCUAGCUGGUCUGAGAGGAUGACCAGCCACACUGGAACUGAGACACGGUCCAGACUCCUACGGGAGGCAGCAGUGGGGAAUAUUGCACAAUGGGCGCAAGCCUGAUGCAGCCAUGCCGCAUGUAUGAAGAAGGCCUUCGGGUUGUAAAGUACUUUCAGCGGGGAGGAAGGGAGUAAAGUUAAUACCUUUACUCAUUGACGUUACCCGCAGAAGAAGCACCGGCUAACUCCGUG
rnacentral:rRNA from 1 species